GGUAGCACACCUACGUGUUUCCAACAUUGAAAUUUGGUUGUUGAGGUUGAAUAACCGUUAGCGGUUGAAUUUUUCAACGUUUUAAAUGCAACAUUGUUUUCAACGGUUGCUCUAUCAUUGAAAACACGUUGAAAACGAGCUUCCAAUUCCACCACUCACAGCGCUACAGUAGUCCUUACACAAAAACGGAUCUAGCAACUCUCAUCAACAACGAUCGACUGAUCAACGCCAUUUCAUGUUUGAAUUCUCAUCAUGUUGAUGAAAGCUGUGAACUCUUUUAGAAGUGUCUACCCAUUCCACUUUGACUUGAUUCUAUCAAAAAAUCUUGUGGGUCGACUGUAGGCAUUGAGACCCAAAUUGAAGACGCUAUUAAGGAUUGGCUAAAAUAUGCGACAGUCAGAGUAUUUUCAGUGGAGAAAAAAACAAUCUAAUUUCGUCGGUAAUUAAAAAGUAUUAUGAAAUGAAA